GUAAGUCCGGUCUGGCAUGCGCGGUAAAACGUGGUAUCGUAGCGUAGUCCGUAAUGAUUGGUUUGAAUGGGUCCUGAGGCUAGCUGAUGAGUGGUCGGUGUAAGUUUUUGGCUUAACGAAAAAAUGGCCAUUGAUACUGUAGGGCUUUAGUGUUUUUGAAUUAACUAGAAUAUGUAGUGUAGCGGUUAAAUGCUUAGAUAUUACAUGGAAUACCAAGUGCUAAGGCAGGUUACUAACAAUGGAUUGACGCUGAUGGACGAAAGCGUUGGUAGCGAACAGGAUUAGAUACCCCAGUAGUC
rnacentral:rRNA from 1 species